rnacentral:rRNA from 1 species
GAUGAACGCUAGCGGCAGGCUUAACACAUGCAAGUCGAGGGGUAACAUUAGUGCUUGCACUAGAUGACGACCGGCGCACGGGUGCGUAACGCGUAUAGAAUCUACCUUUUACAGGGGGAUAGCCUUUAGAAAUGAAGAUUAAUAUCCCAUAGUAUUGCGAAGUGGCAUCACUUUGUAAUUAAAGAUUUAUCGGUAAAAGAUGACUAUGCGUCCUAUUAGUUAGUUGGUAAGGUAACGGCUUACCAAGACUUCGAUAGGUAGGGGUCCUGAGAGGGAGAUCCCCCACACUGGUACUGAGACACGGACCAGACUCCUACGGGAGGCAGCAGUGAGGAAUAUUGGGCAAUGGAGGUAACUCUGACCCAGCCAUGCCGCGUGCAGGAAGACUGCCCUAUGGGUUGUAAACUGCUUUUAUACAGGAAGAAACACUGCUACGUGUAGCAGCUUGACGGUACUGUAAGAAUAAGGACCGGCUAACUCCGUGCCAGCAGCCGCGGUAAUACGGAGGGUCCGAGCGUUAUCCGGAAUCAUUGGGUUUAAAGGGUCCGCAGGCGGUCAAUUAAGUCAGAGGUGAAAUCCCAUAGCUUAACUAUGGAACUGCCUUUGAUACUGGUUGACUUGAGUCAUAUGGAAGUAGAUAGAAUGUGUAGUGUAGCGGUGAAAUGCAUAGAUAUUACACAGAAUACCGAUUGCGAAGGCAGUCUACUACGUAUGUACUGACGCUCAUGACGAAGA